rnacentral:rRNA from 1 species
CAGGGAAUCUUGCACAAUGGGCGAAAGCCUGAUGCAGCGACGCCGCGUGGGGGAUGAAGGCCCUAGGGUCGUAAACCCCUUUCAGCAGGGACGAAGAUGACGGUACCUGCAGAAGAAGCCCCGGCCAACUACGUGCCAGCAGCCGCGGUAAGACGUAGGGGGCGAGCGUUGUCCGGAUUUAUUGGGCGUAAAGAGCUCGUAGGCGGUUGCGUAAGUCGGAUGUGAAAACUCAGGGCUCAACCCUGAGACGCCAUCCGAUACUGCGCUGACUUGAAUCCAGUAGGGGAGUGCGGAAUUCCUGGUGUAGCGGUGAAAUGCGCAGAUAUCAGGAGGAACACCCAUGGCGAAGGCAGCACUCUGGGCUGGUAUUGACGCUGAGGAGCGAAAGCAUGGGUAGCGAACAGGAUUAGAUACCCUCGUAGUCCCUGAGCGGGCUGGCAAGGCGCAU